rnacentral:tRNA from 1 species
GCCCGGGUGGUGGAAUGGCAGACACAACGGACUUAAAAUCCGUUGGGGAUAAAUACCCCGUGCGGGUUCGAGUCCCGCCCCGGGCA